CCUACGGGAGGCAGCAGUGGGGAAUAUUGCACAAUGGGCGCAAGCCUGAUGCAGCGACGCCGCGUGAGGGAUGACGGCCUUCGGGUUGUAAACCUCUUUCAGUAGGGAAGAAGCGAAAGUGACGGUACCUGCAGAAGAGGCGCCGGGCUAACUACGUGCCAGCAGCCGCGGUAAU
rnacentral:rRNA from 1 species